rnacentral:tRNA from 1 species
GGAAUGUGGCUCAGUGGUAAAGCUCUCACCUAGCACAUGUGAGGCUCUGGGUUCGAUCCUUGGCACCA